CGAGGAGGCUGUGUCGGGAGGAAGGCAGUGAGCCCCUCCUUUCCAUGCUGCUCGGGGGUUCGCGUUUGUACAGAGAGCUGAGUCUGUCCUCCACAGCCUCCAUCAUCUGGUUCCCCCUGAUGGUUGACUUCCUCUUGGAUUUGGCCAAUGGGAGGCACCAGCAGGGAUCUGAGGGUGAUGCCAGCGAGGAAUCAUGAUAUAUACUCUUGUACAUUCCAGCCUUGUCAGUACAGCUAAGCAAGCAUUUACUGACCACCUCUGCAUCCCAGGCACCAUUGCAUCGAUGGCAAGUCCCUGUCCUGGAGGAUCUUCCGUCCUAGUACGUGAGA